AUGGUCAUCACUGGGGAUGACCCCGAGUAUAUUGCCUUUGUAAAGGCCCGUCUUAGUGAGCAGUUUCUUAUGUCUGAUCUUGGACCUCUUCGCUAUUUUCUUGGGAUUGAAGUCUCUUCUACCUCUGAUGGCUUUUUUAUAUCCCAGGAAAAGUAUAUCCAAGAUCUUCUUGCUCGUGCUGCUCUCUCUGAUGAGCGCACUGUUGAGACUCCUAUGGAGCUCAAUGUUCACCUUCGUGCUACUGAUGGUGAUCCUCUUCCUGACCCGACGCGUUAUCGUCAUCUUGUUGGCAGUCUUGUCUAUCUAGCUGUCACUCGUCCGGACAUCUCUUAUCCGGUUCAUAUUCUGAGUCAGUUUGUUUCUGCUCCCACAUCGGUUCAUUAUAGUCAUCUCCUUCGUGUUCUCCGAUAUCUUCGGGGCACGAUCUCUCACCGUCUCUUCUUUCCUAGCUCCAGUUCUUUACAGCUUCAGGCCUAUGCGGAUGCUACGUGGGCUAGUGAUCCUUCUGAUCGCCGUUCGCUUUCUGCUUACUGUGUUUUUCUUGGCGGUUCUCUCAUUGCCUGGAAGACGAAGAAACAGAUUGCAGUUUCCCGUUCGAGUGCUGAGGCUGAGUUGCGAGCUAUGGCUCUUUUGACGGCAGAGGUGACUUGGUUACGGUGGUUACUUCAGGACUUUGGUGUUUCUGUCACUACACCGACUAUGCUCUUAUCUGACAGUACAGGUGCUAUUAGCAUUGCGCGCGAUCCUGUGAAGCAUGAGCUCACCAAGCAUAUUGGUGUUGAUGCUUUCUAUAUGCGCGCUGCUGUGCAGGAUCAGGUCGUUGCUCUUCAGUAUGUGCCUUCCGAGUUACAGUUGGCGGAUUUUCUGACGAAGGCCCAGACUAGAGCACAACAUGGCUUUUAUCUCUCCAAACUCAGUGUUGUUCCUCCACCAUGA
rnacentral:rRNA from 1 species